UGCCGCGGUGUCAGUAGCUGUUGCCGCGGUGUCAGUAGCUGUUGCCGCGGUGUCAGUAGCUGUUGCCGCGGUGUCAGUAGCUGUUGCCGCGGUGUCAAUGGCUAUUUGGUGUCAGAAGUAAGGACCAGCUCUUUGGGUGCUGUAUUCCUCAAAUAAAUGUUUAUUUGUCAAGUACACGGUUUACAGGUGUAAAAGGUGCAGUGAAAAUGCUUGUGUGCCAUUUCCCUUUAACAGUGCAGUACAAUUAUCAAUCAUCAGUCAAUAAAUGUCCACUUAGCACGACCAAGGGGACAGCUAGCUAUAGGAGAGGGUGUGUCAAUGCAAUCAGAACCCUAUAGUCAUACAGGCUCUAUCAAUCAAUACUGAUAGUCAGUUCUCAGUUCUGUGGUCAAUAAACCCACGAGAGUCAUCAGCUUCAUCACUAUGAUGAGGAGUUUCCUAUCUCAGUACAACAACUUUUUAUUGUUGUUCAUUUCCUUCUUCUUUAUCCUUUUUCUUCUCCUCUGUUUAUUUUCUGGGUGUGUCCAUAUUAGACAUUGAUUGGCCAGUGUGUUUUCUGAGGAGAAAAGAGAACACAAUUAGCCAUAGAAAAGAAGCCCUGGAUAGAUCUCCUGUUUCCAGAGGGACAGGUAUAGAACCUUUCUCCUGGUGACAGGAUAGCACGGCUUGCCAAUAUUCACACGUCCUCUGGCCCUUCCAUUGACGUGGGGAGCCUCUAAUGAAUGGAUUGGCAUGCCCGUCACUGUUGCGCUGACGGUUGCUUCCAUUGGCUGGAUCAACCUUUGGCCCCAUCUCUUCUACAGUCUGACUGAUCCCAGAUUAACCACUGCUGUGGGAUGGGGAAUGGGCAGAAUGGGGAGGACAAUUUCAUGUUUUUGUGUGUCUCUUGCUCUCUGCUCUCUCCUCCUGUCAGUAAUGGGGAAUGUUAGUAAUUGCUUGUUUUGCAGGUGUGUAUGUGAGGGCUGAUGUGAUGUUUUUAAUGUGUGUAGUGUAUGAUAUUGAUUCUAAAUACUAAAGUCUGUCUCCUCCAGGCGUUUUGAGGUGAGUCCAGUGUGUGCUGAUCUGCAGGGUCAGAUCCUGAAGUGCUACCAGGAACACAGUGGGAAGACUCUGCUCUGCUCCACCAUCGCCUCCCGCUACCUGCAGUGUGUCAACCAAGCUAAACAGAACAAGUUGAGGACUGGGGGCUAAGCGGGAGGUGCUGUGGCAUUACGGUUUACCAACCCUUUAUCGACUGCAAAUGAGUGGAGAGGAGAGUAAGCACCAGAGAUCGCAACCCCGACUCGAGGUAGAAUCAGAACCGCAACCUGACCAGAACCAGGAACACAAGAAAACCAGACAACCCUGAGAGAGAGAUGGACACCCCUUAGCCCAACACCCUUCUCCCCCCACCCCCACUGACCCCCAACACCCUUUACUCCUUCGUAAGAUCCCACCUACGGUACCUGCACCCCUUCUCCCCCACCCCACUCCACUGCAUGUCUAUCUCUACUACCAAGAGGGAGGAGGACAACGGUAGCACUUCCUAAAGAGUACAGCGCAGUAGCUCCAUCACGCAGCAGCAGUAGAAGAAUUGCAGCUGUCCGCCAUGUUGGAGACGCAUGAAUACAUGCAGAGACGGAGAGUUUAAGUCUAGGCGGAGUCCACCAGAACCAAUGCAGGCCCAGAGCUGAAGAUAUCCUCACGGACUGAACCACCAUCAUUACCAACACGCACCACCACCCAACCAGCUCACCCCUCUUACAAAGCCACUAGUCCGCCCCAUCACCACACCCUCUAUCAUAAACCUACAUGAUCACAUGACUUCUAUCCACAAGGCUUCACCCUGCUGUAUCCCUCUAUCCACUAUAUAAACCUACAUGAUCACAUGACUUCUAUCCACCAGGCUUCACCCUGCUGUAUCCCUCUAUCCACUAUAUAAACCUACAUGAUCACAUGACUUCUAUCCACCAGGCUUCACCCUGCUGUAUCCCUCUAUCCCUGUGCACUGUCCUGCACACACCAUUGUGUUAGUAAUGCAUCUAGUUGUCCUGCACACACACCAUUGUGUUAGUAAUGCAUCUGCUUGUUUUGUUUUCAUCCUAACCGUGUCAAAAUCACGUCUGAUCAGAGGAAAUUAAAGAAUGAUACCGGAAUUGA